CUUCGUGGGGCUUCUUUUGGACGCUGACCGGGGCGCUCCGUCUCCUCUUAAUUCGGCGGGACUCUCUCCCGGUGGUAUGGGAGGGAACGGAGAUUAGACGGAGGCUUUCCCCUGAGUUUUCUCAGCAGUCACAGAUGAUUCUCCAAGCAACCGCUGUUCGUCAAGAGGGAAACUACAUCCGUCCCCUUGCGGGUUACAGGAACUUGAGGCGGGUCUUCCUGAAAAACUUUAGUUUAACACAAAACAAGCCCAAGACAUGUUGUUGCACAUGAAGGACAAGAUGAUACCUGCCAUUCCAGAUACUGAAGUCAACUGGACUUGUACUGAAGUCUUCUGUCACUGCUGUGUACGAGACAACAUCCUCCACUCACAAAGGGUACCAGUCUGUUUCAAGUAGUAUAAGACAGAUCAGGGCUUAUACAGAGCUCUUUUUAGAAUAUCUGAUACUUAUUGCCCACUCCCAGCAUCUACGUACUUUCUGAGGUAGCUACCUCUCUUUGCCUAGCUAUAAGGCUGGCCUUGAGAAAUUUGUGACACAAAAGCCUCACAUUCAUCUUUUCCCCCUCCUGUUAAUCUACAUCUUUCCUGCUGCCUUCAUCAGAUGGGAGGAUGCUGUAAAGGAUAAUGUCAUGUCAUGUAUUUCUGUCAUCAGUUAUUACCCAGAAGAUGCAGACUAAAAGCAGUCCUUGAAAUGGUCUGAGGCCACGAGAAGAUGGUUUGUGAAGGACAACUGGUAAACUAACUUCUAUGAAAGUAAAGUUUUGAAUUAAGUUAUUCAAGUCAAUGGCACUCUCUCUUUUCAGAAGUGUCUUGUUUAGUACUGUACUUUUAUUAUGGUAUAAGAUAUAAUAGAUUCCUGUUGAGAAGUGGACAAUUCUAAGGGAUCCAGUUUAUGUUUCUAUUAGAAUCAGUCCACUGACAGCAUUGGUUACAAAACCAAGCAGUAGUUGCCAAAUAAUGGUUUGGGUAGGUGGACAUAAUUCUAUGAAUUUAGAAACAGGGUGCUGUUGUAUCUGUGAUCAGGCCAGGAAUUUGUGAUAAGUAUAAAAACCAUUACCAUGUCCUUUUAAAAAAAUCAAUUUCUUGUUUUCUUUCAUGUGUUCAUUACUAGCAAACUUUGACUUGGUAUGUGGGGUUCCUCACUAUUAGACAAUUUGAAUUGAGGAAUCCCUGUUGAUCUGUUGCAGAUCUCCCAGAGGUCUCCCAGUAGAUCCCAAUCUAUCUUCAUGCUCAUUCCUGUGGUAAAAAAAAAAAUCUUGUGCCAACUUUCCUCACCUUGGUGUCUUUUAGAUGUGUUCAUCUACUGCACCCAUCAUCCCUUGCCACCAUGGCCAAAGACUAUGAUUAUAGGGGCUGCGGUCCAAAACAUCUGGAGACAUCUGGUGGGAAAGGAAGGCUUACAUUUUAAAAUAUCUCUUAAGCUAGAAUCCAAAUGCUGCAUGUAUCUUUCUACCAGAGCUGGUGCCCUUCCUUGUGCAAACCCCCAUGCGCACAAAGUGUUGACCUGGAGUAAAAACAAUUCAAGGUGUAGGGGGUGGUGUAGAUAUAGUCUUGCUAAGUCCAGGGAUUGACAUCUGCACCUUUUGGACCUCUGGAGAUUCCUCGCCUCUGAUCUAAAGUGCUGGGACGUCUUCUGGAGCAGGUUUUUUUUAACCUCAUGGAGAACUGCAGAAGCAAUGAGGGGAAAGGGAGCAAGACCCAAUUUAAGUGAUGUUGGAUACCAAAGAAAAGUUUUGAAUGUUGUUCUUAGUACUGUACUGCAAAAUCCUUCUGUUGUUACUAUUGGACCAGCCUCCACACUGUUACCCUUCUGGAAAUACACUAGCCUAUUAGUUGCAUCAGCUGCACACAAAAGUUUCCACUUCAGUACCAAACAUUUUAUGUGUCCUUUUCUUCAUGGAUAGUGCCUGAGCAGGCAGUUAUUCUAUUGUCUGUCUGUCUGUCUGUCUGUCUGUCUGUCU